GUGAACGCUGGCGGUAGGCCUAACACAUGCCAGUCGAACGGCAGCACAGUAAGAGCUUGCUCUUCCGGGUAGCGAGUGGCGGACGGGUGAGGAAUACAUCGGAAUCUACUUUUUCGUGGGGGAUAACGUAGGGAAACUUACGCUAAUACCGCAUACGACCUACGGGUGAAAGCAGGGGAUCUUCGGACCUUGCGCGAUUGAAUGAGCCGAUGUCGGAUUAGCUAGUUGGCGGGGUAAAGGCCCACCAAGGCGACGAUCCGUAGCUGGUCUGAGAGGAUGAUCAGCCACACUGGAACUGAGACACGGUCCAGACUCCUACGGGAGGCAGCAGUGGGGAAUAUUGGACAAUGGGCGCAAGCCUGAUCCAGCCAUACCGCGUGGGUGAAGAAGGCCUUCGGGUUGUAAAGCCCUUUUGUUGGGAAAGAAAAGCAGCAGGUUAAUACCCCGCUGUUCUGACGGUACCCAAAGAAUAAGCACCGGCUAACUUCGUG
rnacentral:rRNA from 1 species